rnacentral:rRNA from 1 species
AUGCUUUUGCUCUACCCCCUUUUACUAGCAAUUCGAUGGUGCUGCUUGAAUAUUUUGUUCCUAAUGCAUGCAACACAAUACAUCCCUUAUCUGCAUAGAUCUGCUUGUUCUCGAAUCGGUUCAAAUAAAUAUGAUGCUGAUUUGGUUCCUUCUACUUCUACAGGUUUGAAUACUAUGGUCAGAUUUUUUUCCCGAGAAUCCACAAGUUGUGCUGGUCUUGAAGAAUGUAUUAAGUUCAUUGCAAACUUAAAGUUCAGAGAUGAUAUGCAAGGGCGCCGCCUCUCCCUCACCGUCCAUCGUCACUAG